rnacentral:rRNA from 1 species
CCUACGGGUGGCUGCAGUGAGGAAUAUUGGUCAAUGGGCGCGAGCCUGAACCAGCCAAGUAGCGUGAAGGAUGACUGCCCUCCGGGUUGUAAACUUCUUUUAUAAAGGAAUAAAGUGAGGCACGUGUGCCUUUUAGUAUGUAUUUUAUGAAUAAGGAUAGGCUAACUCCGUGCCAGCAGCCGCGGUAAUACGGAGGAUCCGAGGGUUAUCCGGGUUUAUUGGGUUUAAAGGGAGCGUAGAUGGGUUGUUAAGUCAGUUGUGAAAGUUUGCGGCUCAACCGUAAAAUUGCACUUGAUACUGGAAGUCUUGAGUGCAGUUGAGGUAGGCGGAAUUCGUGGUGUAGCGGUGAAAUGCUUAGAUAUCACGAAGAACUCCGAUUGCGAAGGCAGCUUACUAAACUGCAACUGACACUGAUGCUCGAAAGUGUGGGUAUCAAACAGGAUUAGAUACCCAAGUAGUC